GUCGUCGUGGCCUAGUGGUUAAGGCGACAGACUUGAAAUCUGUUGGGCUCUGCCCGCACAGAUUCGAAUCCUGUCGGCGACG
rfam:Ciona savignyi cont_64335, whole genome shotgun sequence.